rnacentral:tRNA from 1 species
AGCUCUCUAGUAUAUUUAGUAUAUUUGUUUGUGGCACAAAGGGUUAGUGGAGCUU